rnacentral:rRNA from 1 species
AUGCACAACUCAUUACCCUUAGCGUAUGAUCUGUGCACACUGUUUUGUAUUAUUCUGUUUCGACAAUUUUACUUAAGUGUCCAUGCUUUUGUGUCUUCCCUGUUAUUGUCCAUGGCCACUCAUAGUUUUCACAUGUCUUCUUUUCAAUUAUCUUGGUUGAACCGGGUCAUCAAACUGAUUCUUGCGGAGUUGUUUGGUGUUUUGACAGGAUCUUUUGAUAGGAGAGGCCACAAGAGGGGGGCAACAAAACUGUUGGUUGUGAUCAUGGCUUCAGUAUCGGGUGUUAUGAUAUUCAACAUGAGCUAUCGUAGGCCUUCUGUUAUGUGCAAUUUUUAUGAUUGUGUCCUAAAAACACAUCUCUGUUUCUCAUUCAAGUCAAAGCGAAUAAAACAAGUUUCAUGCAUUUCAUGUCUACAACUUCUAUAUAAAAAACAUUUGGGUACCUGGCUAAAAGAAAUUGACAUUGCCUCAGUCUCCUCUCUUGCUGCUAGCUGCGAACCUGAAGAAGAGAGAUAUUAA